ACUUAGUGGCGGACGGGUGAGUAACGCGUGGGAAACCUGCCCUAUACUGGGGGAUAGCAGUUGGAAACGACUGAUAAUACCGCAUAAGCGCACAGCUUCGCAUGAAGCAGUGUGAAAAACUCCGGUGGUAUAGGAUGGUCCCGCGUCUGAUUAGCUAGUUGGUGAGGUAACGGCCACCAAGGCGACGAUCAGUAGCCGGCCUGAGAGGGUGUACGGCCACAUUGGGACUGAGACACGGCCCAAACUCCUACGGGAGGCAGCAGUGGGGAAUAUUGGACAAUGGGGGAAACCCUGAUCCAGCCGACGCCGCGUGAACGAUGAAGUAUUUCGGUAUGUAAAGUUCGUAUCAGCAGGGAAGAUAAUGACGGUACCUGACUAAGAAGCACCGGCUAAAUACGUGCCAGCAGCUGC
rnacentral:rRNA from 1 species